rnacentral:tRNA from 1 species
UGGUAAUUAGUUUAAAUAAAAUAAAUGAUUUCGAAUCAUUAGAUUAUGUAUGUCAACCAUAAUUACCAA